AUAUCAGUUUAGAAAGGGACAGUAACUACCAUCAAGGGUUUUUUUCAACCACAUACGUAAUAUAACAAACCCGACAGCAUCCAGUAACAUGAAACGUAACGGCCGCUUGUACUAAGGCGUUGUUUUUCGUGGAAAGUUCCACUGUGGUCCCCGUCACAGUUUGGUUGAAAUUCGACACCAAAACUAAUACCAAUUGUAGAGUUUACAAGCAAAGAAAUUGCCAUGCAAUUUUCUGAUAGAUAUUCCUUAGCAAUUGCAAUUGACAGCAAACAGAUGGCACACAAGCACCCUUAGUUGGAAUCCCCUAGCUCGGCCAUGUUUUAGUUUCUGAAUAAGAUGUGUACAAUCAAGUUGUACAAAGGGAGAGGAUAAGAAAAUGCAAUCCACUCUUUAGGACGCUCAUUCACAAAAAAUCCUUUGUAAUAGGUAUCAUUUGUAUUCAUUGAAAGAUUAUUCCAAGGACUUAAGCCUAAAGCUAACACCGACAGAAUAAUAAAAAUAUCGCAUGGAAAACAGGAUCUUUCAUUGCGGAUUUAUCUUCAAUGGUUGGGGAUGAUAAAAACGCGAGUAAAUCGGGUUCUCAUUCAAUGUUACCAGGGUGUCAAACAAUGAAACCAACAUGGUCAUCUUGGGGAUUUAACUUGAGCAUGCAAAGCUGGGAUUUUUGAAAGAGGGUGAGGCUGCAUACAAGGAGAGGCACAGAAAUGAAGUGCAAUGGGAGAACCAGCGAAUUUCUUGUAAGCUUAAUCUGUGUAGACAUUUCAGUAGAAUGGCUGGAUUGGAAAAGGCAUCCACUGGCUACCAUGUCCCCAUCUGUUCAUAAUUCCCUGGCAAAAUCAAAUCAUAUCGAUAUUGUUUUAGGCAUGGAUGUUGAGACUUCAUGUAGCUCUGUUUAUGUAGCCACAAGAGAACUUUGAUUCAAUAAAUGCGACUGAUUCUCACUUUUGGAUGAAGAUUUGAGGAUAUUUUCCAUUAACAUUCCAUACACGUGCAAAAAGAGGCAGUCGCUUCCAACCGUCGACUAUAAAUAUAUCAUAAGCCUCAGGUUCCUCCUAGAUCAUAACAUCAUAUAACGCAGAGGCUUGCCUAGGUUAAACCCAGGCUCAUCCCUCCUUCAGUGAUGGUUUAUUUCAAAUUGCUCUCAACACGGGCAGGUUGCGUCUACACGAUAAAAAUUUUUACUAGGGUUUAUUCAAUGCGGGUUGAACCCAGAUAUACUAACAAAGUAUAAACAUUGCAACAUAGAUCUCCUCUUCUAUUUCCUAGCCAUGGUCUUGGCAGCCCUGCUUACUAGCGAUGAACUUUCAAUUCCGUUCGUUCGGUAUGCAUUCAGUUAGUCAAGCUCUAGGUAUAGAGAAUACACGUGAUUUAUCCACACUGUUGGGUAUAUACAACUGAAAAUAUGUUUUUGUUAAGUUAUUAAAUUGGCUUUUCAUGACAAACGUACUAUCUUCCAAACAAGAAACAUAGAACGCUGUAGCUUGGAAUUCGAUUGCUCUUUUCUACAAAAAUGUUGUUUUUGUUUUUUUGUUUUCAUAGAACAGAAAAACAAAGAAACCAUCCAUCAAACAAACAAGUACAACAAACAGAAGAAACAAAUCGUGCAUCAAAAGGCUUUUAUGGACAUCUUUGUGGCAUAAGAAGAAGAACUGGGCCAAUCUGUUCUCUUUUCCAGGGUGUGUGCAGUGAGGAUGCAGGAAAGAAUUGCCGUGGCAUGGCUAAAUGGCCAUUACAACCAUAGUGCAGGAGAAAAAUCCAAGCUUGAUGUUGAUGAACAAUUGGCUGACGAGAUGACGUUAGGUGGCUUAAACAUUACUGGUUAAUGUUGAUGAACAAUUGUGAAUUGUAGCCAAUCAGAGUUGGCGUUAGAUGAUUUAAAAUUCAUUGUUCAUACUAGCCAAUCGCUGAGGUGACGGACUGCCUUAAACACGCAAGCAACCUCGUAAGAGCUCAUAUUGUCACUUUCUUGUAUUUUGCUACCUAGCAUCCGGAGGUAGUUUUAGGACACUGAGAAGCUAUGCUUAUCAAGCAGUGUCCUGGUCCUCCCUCUCGAUGUGACCAUACCUCGUGAUUCCCACACCUGGAAUUACAGAGAGUUGACGACUCUCCACAGCCCGAGCGACAGGGGCUCGAACCACAGAUCUUCGGAUCUUUAGUCAGCGACCUUAACCACUAAGCCAUCAUCGCACCAGAAUUGAUACUUGGUAGUUCACAACACAAACCAGCUCACCAACUUAACUAUGCACUCGGUCGAUCCACGAACCUGACCAUUAUUCAUUAAUUCAAAUAAUAUACUCCAAGAGUGAGACGUAAAUUAAUGGACCUUAUAUAUACCGAAUAAACAAGCCACCGUCAAAUCAUGGACAAAUAACACAGUCCCAAAAUUCGUCCCUGCAAUCAAAGCCAAGAAUAAGUGACGUCUAGAGACGCACUUGUACAGGAGAAACCUCCAUAGAGCAGACAGUUUCCUAAGUCCAAAAUUUGUCAAUCACAUCUACGUUACAAAUCGUGCAUGCAUUGAAUAAAAAAAACUCUCAUUCUUUUUUGUCAGCCUGGACCUGAAUAGUGAAUAGUGUCACAUGUUACCCAUGUAAUGAAGUAUGGCAAUUUCCGAACACUCGUAAAAACGAGACAAUAAAUAGACAAGAAAACCUUUGCCAAAAAGAGCAUCUUUACAUUCUCAGCGCAUGUAUCUCCAAUAUUAGGUUUUUUGUAUUUAAAACCAAAAACAGGCCAGAUUACAAUAGAUUCAAGAAACUGACGAUUUAUUCUAAAAGAACUCAUAACGACCAUAAUUCUUAAUAUGUAAUACCAAAGGUGUUUGAAAAAUACUUAGAUACAAUAUGUUAGAAACAAAUUUAAAAUAAUAGGCCUUUUGACGAUGUAGCAAACAACAAAAGCAGGGGGGAUUUCGAGACUGGGGCAGUGUUUAGCAUAGAACGUAAACAAUAUUCAUCGCCAAAAUUUGGUUAAAGUGGUGAAUAUAAAAAGGCUGGCGAUAAUU